GAGUGUUUCAUCGUGUCUUAGGGUAUCGAUAGUGUGAUAUAAUUUUUCGAUACAGUUGGUGUAUUCGGAUAGAUCAAUUAUGUGGCUAAUUUUUUUAUAGUUUCCUAUCACGAGUGUUUUCCCUAGCGGCACUUUUGCUAAGAGGUUGGUGUUAUUGAAGUUGUGGAUGGAGAUAGAUUGGUAUGCCCCAUGGAAGGAUUUCUUGUUGUUUUCCUUUUUAUUAAGUUUCCCGGCUGCGCCAGUUACCUCCGGGGAGCUUCGUGAGGUAUUGUAAUGCGGAAGACAGGGGGGUUGUGAGGAGGAAUACGAUCAGUAAUUUGUUGCGAGAAUCAGUGAUUUAUUUCGAGAUUUUAACAUGGAUAUGUUGGUUCUUGGUGCUCAAAAUCGACUGAUCGUCGCAUUUUCCUUUCGUCUUAAAUAAGCUAAUAGUGAAUAUGUAUGUAUGUGUUACAAUGUUAAGGUUCUUAGAAAUAAAGUAUCUGACACAGCAGAAAGUAUAA